rnacentral:rRNA from 1 species
UACGAAGGGGGCUAGCGUUGUUCGGAAUUACUGGGCGUAAAGCGCGCGCAGGCGGUCUUCCAAGUCAGUGGUGAAAGCCCGGAGCUCAACUCCGGAACUGCCAUUGAAACUGUUGGACUUGAGUAUGAGAGAGGUGAGUGGAAUUCCCAGUGUAGAGGUGAAAUUCGUAGAUAUUCGGAAGAACACCAGUGGCGAAGGCGACUCACUGGACAUGUAUUGACGCUGAGGUGCGAAAGCGUGGGGAGCAAACAGG